UACGAAGGGGGCUAGCGUUGCUCGGAAUUACUGGGCGUAAAGCGCACGUAGGCGGCUUCUUAAGUCGGAGGUGAAAUCCUGGAGCUCAACUCCAGAACUGCCUUCGAUACUGGGAAGCUCGAGUCCGGGAGAGGUGAGUGGAACUGCGAGUGUAGAGGUGAAAUUCGUAGAUAUUCGCAAGAACACCAGUGGCGAAGGCGGCUCACUGGCCCGGUACUGACGCUGAGGUGCGAAAGCGUGGGGAUCAAGCAGG
rnacentral:rRNA from 1 species